GAUGAAGAACGCAGCGAAAUGCGAUAAGUAAUGUGAAUUGCAGAAUUCAGUGAAUCAUCGAAUCUUUGAACGCACAUUGCGCCCGCCAGUAUUCUGGCGGGCAUGCCUGUUCGAGCGUCAUUUCAACCAUCAAGCCCCAGGCUUGUGUUGGGGACCUGCGGCUGCCGCAGGCCCUGAAAACCAGUGGCGGGCUCGCUGUCACACCGGGCGUAGUAGAUUUUAUCUCGCUCAGGGCGUGCUGCGGGUUCCGGCCGUUAAAAAGCCUUUUUUACCCAAGGUUGACCUCGGAUCAGGUAGGAAGGCCCGCUGAACUUAAGCAUAUCAAUAAGCGGAGGA
rnacentral:misc_RNA from 1 species